GGAAAAUCAUUUCACCUAGGUCACCUUGGGGGCUGUUUUGGAACUUCAUUGAGCAAAUGUCUGCCUUCUGACAUCUUCAGAGGAAUGAAUUGUCCGUAGAACUCUCUAGAACUCCCUGGAAACUCCGCGAGAACCAACGGGAACUCAAAAGUAGUGGGCCCCUGAGGUAGCAGGAGCCGCCUUAUUGCUGGACAGCAGAGGUUUAUAUACACAACUGAAUACACAACUUGCCCCAAUCCAGCAUCAUCCAGUUACAGCAAUCAGUCACCAUCCCAAUAAUUAUACACAGCUUAACUUAAUCACCGUCAUCCCAAUGGCUCGCUGGCGUCACUUCUCAACGGCUCCUUCUGGCAAAAUGCCAGGCGCCAUCCCGACUUGGCUGUGGCUCUCAACAAAUAUGCCCGCCGUGGUCUCCAUCUCACAGAGACACAGAUACUUGGUGGCUCACAAAUUGGGUAAUGGUGUUGAGAGGGAAAUGCAGAAUCAUUCUUGUCCCUGGAUUUUCUUCAAGGAAAACCCACAGCUGUGAGGGUGGACAAGAGUCCACAGUGACCUUCAGUUAGUCAAACUAGGGGUGGGAGAAUGUCCACGGUGAUGAGAUAUCUUGACUUUCCCCUUGGGAUUUGUGUGUCUGUUACUCAGGUCACACUGGUGUUCCAUAGGCUUGUCACCUUGAA
rnacentral:lncRNA from 1 species